UACGGAGGACCCGAGCGUUAUCCGGAUUCAUUGGGUUUAAAGGGUGCGUAGGCGGAUUGGCAAGUCAGAGGUGAGAGCCUGCAGCUUAACUGUAGAAUUGCCUUAGAUACUGCUAAUCUUGAAUGUGGUUGAGGUGGAUGGAAUGUGUCAUGUAGCGGUGAAAUGCUUAGAUAUGACACAGAACACCGAUCGCGAAGGCAGUUCACCAAACCAUUAUUGACGCUGAGGCACGAAAGCGUGGGGAGCAAACAGG
rnacentral:rRNA from 1 species